rnacentral:rRNA from 1 species
UACGAAGGAUCCAAGCGUUAUCCGGAUUUAUUGGGUUUAAAGGGUGCGUAGGUGGAUUGAUUAGUCAGUGGUGAAAGCCUGCAGCUUAACUGCAGAACUGCCAUUGAUACUGUCAAUCUUGAGUACAAUUGAGGUGGGCGGAAUGUGUCAUGUAGCGGUGAAAUGCUUAGAUAUGACACAGAACACCAAUUGCGAAGGCAGCUCACUAAACUGUAACUGACACUGAGGCACGAAAGCGUGGGUAGCAAACAGG